UGAGGAAUAUUGGUCAAUGGGCGAGAGCCUGAACCAGCCAAGUAGCGUGAAGGAUGACUGCCCUAUGGGUUGUAAACUUCUUUUAUAAAGGAAUAAAGUCGGGUAUGGAUACCCGUUUGCAUGUACUUUAUGAAUAAGGAUCGGCUAACUCCGUGCCAGCAGCCGCGGUAAUACAGAGGAUCCGAGCGUUAUCCGGAUUUAUUGGGUUUAAAGGGAGCGUAGAUGGAUGUUUAAGUCAGUUGUGAAAGUUUGCGGCUCAACCGUAAAAUUGCAGUUGAUACUGGAUAUCUUGAGUGCAGUUGAGGCAGGCGGAAUUCGUGGUGUAGCGGUGAAAUGCUUAGAUAUCACGAAGAACUCCGAUUGCGAAGGCAGCCUGCUAAGCUGCAACUGACAUUGAGGCUCGAAAGUGUGGGUAUCAAACAGGAUUAGAUACCCUGGUAGUCCACACGGUAAACGAUGAAUACUCGCUGUUUGCGAUAUACUGCAAGCGGCCAAGCGAAAGCGUUAAGUAUUCCACCUGGGGAGUACGCCGGCAACGGUGAAACUCAAAGGAAUUGACGGGGGCCCGCACAAGCGGAGGAACAUGUGGUUUAAUUCGAUGAUACGCGAGGAACCUUACCCGGGCUUAAAUUGCAGAUGAAUUACGGUGAAAGCCGUAAGCCGCAAGGCAUCUGUGAAGGUGCUGCAUGGUUGUCGUCAGCUCGUGCCGUGAGGUGUCGGCUUAAGUGCCAUAACGAGCGCAACCCUUGUUGUCAGUUACUAACAGGUUCCGCUGAGGACUCUGACAAGACUGCCAUCGUAAGAUGUGAGGAAGGUGGGGAUGACGUCAAAUCAGCACGGCCCUUACGUCCGGGGCUACACACGUGUUACAAUGGGGGGUACAGAGGGCCGCUACCACGCGAGUGGAUGCCAAUCCCCAAAACCUCUCUCAGUUCGGACUGGAGUCUGCAACCCGACUCCACGAAGCUGGAUUCGCUAGUAAUCGCGCAUCAGCCACGGCGCGGUGAAUACGUUCCC
rnacentral:rRNA from 1 species